CUACGGGUGGCUCCAGUGGGGAAUAUUGCACAAUGGGCGCAAGCCUGAUGCAGCCAUGCCGCGUGUAUGAAGAAGGCCUUCGGGUUGUAAAGUACUUUCAGCGGGGAGGAAGGGAGUAAAGUUAAUACCUUUGCUCAUUGACGUUACCCGCAGAAGAAGCACCGGCUAACUCCGUGCCAGCAGCCGCGGUAGUACGGAGGGUGCAAGCGUUAAUCGGAAUUACUGGGCGUAAAGCGCACGCAGGCGGUUUGUUAAGUCAGAUGUGAAAUCCCCGGGCUCAACCUGGGAACUGCAUCUGAUACUGGCAAGCUUGAGUCUCGUAGAGGGGGGUAGAAUUCCAGGUGUAGCGGUGAAAUGCGUAGAGAUCUGGAGGAAUACCGGUGGCGAAGGCGGCCCCCUGGACGAGGACUGACGCUCAGGUGCGAAAGCGUGGGGAGCAAACAGGAUUAGAUACCCCUGUAGUC
rnacentral:rRNA from 1 species